rnacentral:rRNA from 1 species
AUGUGGAGAGCGGCCGGCAUGGAUCUCGAUAGGGUCGAGCUCGUGUGGCUAUCGGAUCAAGUAAGUUGCCAUGCGGACGAAUUCUGGCCCCUUGUCAUGGAUGUUGGCAGAAAAAGCGACACGAAAAGAAUAAAAAAGUCGCUUCGCGUUCAUCGCACGGAUGAUACAAGGGGCCAUGGGAGCUUAGAUCCCUACUUGUUUAGAGAUUUCACUCCUGCUGAGAUAUUCCAUCCUUGCUUACAGUGUGCCGGCAUAGUGCUGUUACACCACAAGGCGGACAUAUGGCUGCUCGACGCGGAUCAGCGUGUUGCCCACAUGUUAGCUACACAAUACUGCAACCGCCUGCAGAUGAAAGAUGGACCAGUUGCCCUGUUCCACGACGUGCCGCCAAAUUUGCUCGAAUACCCGGAACAUGAGGCGUGGAAUGAUCCCAGAUGGGCCAUCUUCAUGGAAGACGACGAGGAAAACGUCGGCUGCAAAAUAAAGAAAGCCUUCUGCCCUCCAAAGAUUACAAAAGGCAACCCUUGCUUCGAGUACAUAAGAUGUAUAAUCUUCCCUUGGUUUGGAAAAUUCGAGGUGGUUCGGAAGGAAGGGAAUUGUGGUGCGACGUUCUUCGGCAUGGAUGAGCUUACUGUUGCUUAUGAAAGUGGCAUUCUGCAUCCCGCCGACGUGAAAGAUGCGCCUGAGAAGGCAAUAAACAUGAUGUUGCGGCACAUCAAUGAUCGCCUCAAAAGCAACCCUGGAGGCAAAGAACUAGUGGAAGCAAUGGAGCAGCGAUUCAGCAUACCGUGGUGA